AAUUUAUGUUCUUUUUUUGUAAAUCUGUUUUUUUCCAAGAUUAUUUGUCCGGUAUAGAAUUAUAGAAGUGGAAUUAGAGGAGUGAUCUCUUAAGUUAGAUUGUUUUCUUUAUUAGUUUUUAAAUGGGAACAUUUAAUUUUUUACCAUCAGGUUGUUUUUACAUAUUUACUGUCUUUUGUUUGAGUUGUAUCGCAACUUACAAGUUUAAAAUGUUGAAGUUUUGAACAGAGACAAGGGAUUAUUUAAAAUAUAAGCAUUUUUUAAUUCAAAAUAGCUCGUGUUUUUCCAUUUAUGAAUGUUUUACUAAUUACAAUCGGUAUAUGGGAUAAUUAUAUUGUCAUUGUAAAUUAUGUGGAUAAAUUAAUUUAAAAAUUUAUACUGCCAGUUCAAUAUUGUAUUCCAGCAUUAUAACAUUUUUGGUUGUUGGAUUUUUGUGUCAUAAUCUCUAUUGCAAUAUCUAUUAAGGAACAAAGAAGGAAUUUUGAAAGGGGAUCAUAUUUCAAAUGCACAGUGGGGCUCUUUUGAUUUCACAUUUGUGUUCAUUUUAUUACCUAUAUUCCCACGGGGAAAACAUGAUGAAUACUAAUUUUUAUUGUUUUUAAAAAUAACACCUUCUAGAAUUCUACAAAUGCAGAUGGCAAUUAAUUGUUAGAUUAUUUCUCUUGAUUCCUCAGUCUUAUUAUUACUUUUUAUUUAUUCAACAAAUAUUUACCUAUAUAUGUUUGGCAUGCUCUAAGUACUAGGGUUGCAACAAACACAUUUCUAUAAAAAAGUAAAGUAUGUUAUGUACAUAUAUUCAGGCUCAGAGGUAAAUAAUCUGCCAAUGAAAUCUAAAAAAUUAGUAUAAUCGACUAGGAGAUUGAUUGUGAUUUUUUUUUUUAAACAUUCAUACGUUUUCCAAACUGGUUCUACUUAGAAAAAAGUAGGAGUUCCUUGUGGAAACUUUAGUUUCUCAUUGCUAAUAAUAUUUAUUCAUUGUUUGGUAAAUAUUAAUAAAUUACUUAAAUUUAUUUGCAACUCUCCCAUA
rnacentral:sRNA from 1 species